rnacentral:tRNA from 1 species
AGGCGGCGUCUAGGGUGGAAGCUGACUCUUAAUCAGCGGGUCGAAGGUUCGAGUCCUUCACAGCCCACCA